rnacentral:misc_RNA from 1 species
CCUGGUGGACCUCCAAAGUUGCGAAUUACAGGAAUUGAGCUCCCUCAACCGGGUUUUCGCCCUGCAGAAAGGGUGGAGGAAACUGGUCGUCGCUUACAAAGAUAUUGUGAGAGGUUUAAUGUCCCAUUUGAGUAUAAUGUGAUAGCACAGAAAUGGGAAACCAUCAAAUAUGAGGAUCUCAACGUUGACAGAGAUGAGAUGACUGUUGUUAAUUGUUUGUAUCGGUUGAGGAAUCUCCCUGAUGACACUGUUGUGGCAAACAGUGCAAGAGAUGCUGUCCUAAAAUUGAUCAGGAGUAUCAGACCUGACUUUUUUAUCCAUGGAGUUGUUAAUGGUACUUAUAAUGCUCCAUUCUUUGUCACUCGGUUUCGGGAGGCACUCUUCCACUUCUCUUCUAUGUUUGAUAUGUUUGAGGUUAACAUUUCUCGCGAGGAUGAGCAGAGAAUGCUGUAUGAGAAAGAAGUAUUUGGAAGAGAUAUCAUGAAUGUCAUAGCAUGUGAGGGUACAGAGAGGGUUGAAAGGCCAGAGACACACAAGCAGUGGCAGGUUCGGAAUAUCAGAGCUGGGUUCAGGCAGCUUUUAUUAGA